GAGGAUAUAGCUCAGUGGUAGAGUGCGUGCUUAGCAUGCACAAGGUCCUGGGUUCAAGCCCCAGUGCCUCCU
rnacentral:tRNA from 1 species